GGUCAUGAGUGCCAGUGACGAGCCCCGGCUAGCUGGCCGGCAACCCUCCAACCGCGGUGGGGUGCCCCGGGUGAAGACCAGGCUUCCGCCAAAAGGCGCGAAGCAAGCGCGGGUC
rnacentral:ncRNA from 2 species